GAUGAACGCUGGCGGCGUGCCUAAUACAUGCAAGUCGAGCGAACAGACGAGGAGCUUGCUCCUCUGACGUUAGCGGCGGACGGGUGAGUAACACGUGGAUAACCUACCUAUAAGACUGGGAUAACUUCGGGAAACCGGAGCUAACACCGGAUAAUAUAUUGAACCGCAUGGUUCAAUAGUGAAAGACGGUUUUGCUGUCACUUAUAGAUGGAUCCGCGCCGCAUUAGCUAGUUGGUAAGGUAACGGCUUACCAAGGCAACGAUGCGUAGCCGACCUGAGAGGGUGAUCGGCCACACUGGAACUGAGACACGGUCCAGACUCCUACGGGAGGCAGCAGUAGGGAAUCUUCCGCAAUGGGCGAAAGCCUGACGGAGCAACGCCGCGUGAGUGAUGAAGGUCUUCGGAUCGUAAAACUCUGUUAUUAGGGAAGAACAAAUGUGUAAGUAACUAUGCACGUCUGGACGGUACCUAAGCAGAAAGCCACGGCUAACUACGG
rnacentral:rRNA from 1 species